rnacentral:rRNA from 1 species
GAUGAACGCUGGCGGCGUGCCUAAUACAUGCAAGUCGAGCGAACAGACGAGGAGCUUGCUCCUUCGACGUUAGCGGCGGACGGGUGAGUAACACGUAGGUAACCUACCUAUAAGACUGGGAUAACUUCGGGAAACCGGAGCUAAUACCGGAUAAUAUUUCGAACCGCAUGGUUCGAUAGUGAAAGAUGGCUUUGCUAUCACUUAUAGAUGGACCUGCGCCGUAUUAGCUAGUUGGUAAGGUAACGGCUUACCAAGGCAACGAUACGUAGCCGACCUGAGAGGGUGAUCGGCAACACUGGAACUGAGACACGGUCCAGACUCCUACGGGAGGCAGCAGUAGGGAAUCUUCCGCAAAGGGCGAAAGCCUGACGGAGCAACGCCGCGUGAGUGAUGAAGGUCUUCGGAUCGUAAAACUCUGUUAUUAGGGAAGAACAAACGUGUAAGUAACUGUGCACGUCUUGACGGUACCUAAUCAGAAAGCCACGGCUAACUACGUG